rnacentral:rRNA from 2 species
AGUCGAACGGGAUUUAGUAGACAGAAGCUUCGGUGGAAGAUUACUAAUGAGAGUGGCGAACGGGUGAGUAACGCGUGAGCAACCUGCCUAUGACAGUGGGAUAGCCUCGGGAAACCGGGAUUAAUACCGCAUAAAAUCGUAGAAACACAUGUUUUAGCGGUCAAAGAUUUAUCGGUCAUAGAUGGGCUCGCGUCUGAUUAGCUAGUUGGUGAGAUAACAGCCCACCAAGGCGACGAUCAGUAGCCGGUCUGAGAGGAUGAACGGCCACAUUGGAACUGAGACACGGUCCAAACUCCUACGGGAGGCAGCAGUGGGGAAUAUUGCACAAUGGGGGAAACCCUGAUGCAGCGACGCCGCGUGAACGAAGAAGGUAUUCGUAUCGUAAAGUUCUGUCCUAUGGGAAGAUAAUGACAGUACCAUAGAAGAAAGCUCCGGCUAAAUACGUGCCAGCAGCCGCGGUAAUACGUAUGGAGCGAGCGUUGUCCGGAAUUAUUGGGCGUAAAGGGUACGCAGGCGGUUUAAUAAGUCGAAUGUUAAAGAUCGGGGCUCAACCCCGUAAAGCAUUGGAAACUGAUAAACUUGAGUAGUGGAGAGGAAAGUGGAAUUCCUAGUGUAGUGGUGAAAUACGUAGAUAUUAGGAGGAAUACCAGUAGCGAAGGCGACUUUCUGGACACAAACUGACGCUGAGGUACGAAAGCGUGGGGAGCAAACAGGA